CGCCCUUAGAGUUUGAUCAUGGCUCAGAUUGAACGCUGGCGGCAGGCCUAACACAUGCAAGUCGGACGGUAAGAGAGCUUGCUCUCGACGAGUGGCGGACGGGUGAGUAAUGUCUGGGAAACUGCCCGAUGGAGGGGGAUAACUACUGGAAACGGUAGCUAAUACCGCAUAACGUCGCAAGACCAAAGUGGUUCGUCACACCAUCGGAUGUGCCCAGAUGGGAUUAGCUAGUAGGUGGGGUAACGGCUCACCUAGGCGACGAUCCCUAGCUGGUCUGAGAGGAUGACCAGCCACACUGGAACUGAGACACGGUCCAGACUCCUACGGGAGGCAGCAGGGGGGAAUAUUGCACAAUGGGGGCAAGCCUGAUGCGGCCAUGCCGCGUGGAUGAAGAAGGCCUUCGGG
rnacentral:rRNA from 1 species